rnacentral:lncRNA from 1 species
AUUCACGCUCAAUAACCAACGAUUGCUGCAGUUUGAAGAGUUCGAGAUCUUCACCCUGGAUCGCCUUGAGGUAAUUUUCCUUUCCGUUUCAAUGCUCAAUUUUUGUCUCCAAACCAACCGAUUCUUAUGAUUAAUUAAUAACUAUAUGUUGUGUUCGACUCUUUUGGGAAGAAUGUAAAUGACCUACCCAGCUUUUCGAAUUGGUCGCACUCGAAAAUUGCGAGAUCAAAAGUUUAAUUGACUUAUAAAAAAUCGAAUCCUGUUGUAAUUUGAAGAAAUCAACUUCUGUGGUAUCUUUUAAUUUUGGUUUUCGUUUGGUUCGUGAGAAAAUUUUGUUGGUUUUCGUUUGGUUCGUGAGAAAAUUUUGAAACGAGAAAUACGGUUCACGCUCAUCCUCCCUGCUCCAGCCCUCUCACCGUUUAGUGUGUGAAAAAAUUGAUUAUAUUGCAUUUGCCCUUGUGGUGGUGGUUCAACCUUUAGCCCCAUUUUUUUUCUUCACUUUUAAUUUUAAUUGCAUAUUGCUUUAUGAUGGAAGAACAAUCUUCCCAGGGACCUCACCUCAAACAAGUUGCAGGUGAACGUAAUCCCAUGGUUGGCCAAGAAUUUGGAUCAAUAACGGAAGCAUAUGAUUUUUACAAUCAAUAUAUGCUCGAGAAGUUGGAUUUAGUGUCAGAAUGGGUUCAAGUAAGAAGAAAAAAAGGAACGAAUGAAAUCACCUGGAAACAAUUUGUUUGCUCAAAGGAAGGUGAACUAGAUGAGACUUAUUAGAAAACAAAGAAGAAUACAUCAACCAAGGAAGAAAGGAAUGUUGGAUCCGUGUGGGUUAUAGGCAAAGUUAAGCAUUUCUCGUGACAAGUCAAAGAAGAAGUGUUCUAUUUGUAGCUUUGAAAAGUGUUAUAAUCAUGUACUUUCAACACCUACAAAGGCACACCUACUACAUUCACACCGAAAAGUUUCGAAAGCAAAGAAGCUUUACAUGGAAACACUAAGUAGUGCAAAUGUACCUACAAGUCAACAAUUCAGAAUAAUGGAAAAUGAGGCAAGUGGAAUUGCAAAUGUUAGAUGUAUUGACAAAGAUUUGAGAAACGUUGAAAGAGAUUUGCAGAAAGAAAUCAAGGGACAUGAUGCUAACAUGCUUCUUGAAUAUUUUCAUUUAGAAAAGGAAAAGAACCCAUCUUUUUAUUAUGAAGUUGAUAGAGAUGAGGAAAAUAGGUUGAGCCGUUGUUUUUGGGUCGAUUCCACAGCAAGAAAAUUGUACUUCUUUUUUGGUGAUGUAGUUGCUUUUGACACGACUUGCAACACAAUUAAGUAUAGUAUGAUCUUUGUUCCAUUCGUAGGGAUUAACCAUCACAAUCAGACAAUUGUAUUUGGAUGUGAGUUUUUAAGUGAUGAGAAACUGAGUCAUUUAUUUGGUUAUUUGAGCAAUGGCUGAAAGCUAUGCCUAGCGGUCCACCUCAAUUGACAAUUACAGAUCAAGAUCAAGCAAUAUCAAAGAGUCAUUGCUCAAGUUUUUCCUCUUGCAUUCCACCGGUAUUGUAUUUGGCAUAAAAUGGAUAAGUUUCCACAAAAGUUUGACCCAAUACUUUCAGUUUAUAUGCCACAAUUUAGCGCUAGUGCAUACGGUUCCGAAACUAUAGAAGAAUAUGAAGAAAGUUGGAAGCAUGCAUUAAUGCAACAUAACGCAUUGGAGAAUCAUGAAUGGCUGCUACCAAUGUACAAACUUCAUAAGCGAUGAGUCCCUGCAUUUUGCAUGCAUAUAUUUUCUACAGGAAUGUCAAGUAGUUAAAGAGUUGAAAGUGGACACUCUUUCUUCAAGAAAUAUGUUUCAAAACGCAACUCUUUGUGGGAUUUUGUUACACGAUUUGAGAGAGCACUUGGACACCAAAGACAUAAAGUGUUGGUUUCUGAUCAUGUGGAUGUUAAUGAAGUACCAAAGUUGAAGACAUUAUUUUCAAUUGAAAAGCAGGUGUGCAAUUUAUAUACAAAAACAAUAUUUUUAAAGUUUCAGGAUGAAGCGAUUCAAAGUACUGCUUAUUUGAAGUGUGAUGUUAUAAGGGAGGACGAAGAGGAAUGUGUUUAUGUUGUUAUACGUGCUGAUGCAGAAAACUCAACAUUGUGACAUAUUGUUCACGAUAAAGUUUCUACUUUUGCAAAUUGCAGCAGUCGAAAAUUUGAGUUUGAAGGAAUUCCAUGCAGACAUAUUGUAUUUUUUCUCAGAAGUAUUCAUAUUGUAGAUUUGCCAAGCCAAUACAUCAUGAAAAGAUGGACCAAAAGUGUGAAGGCUGAAAGAGUUUGGUAUGGAGAUGGAUUAGAAAUAAAAAAUGUGCAAUACAAGUCAUUAAUGAUGAGGCAUAUUCAGUUAUCUCAACUUUCACAGUGCUUAAUUGAUGAAUCAUCCAUUAUGGAAGAAACAACUGAACUUGUAAGAAAAGGAAUCAAAUCGCUUCGUAUUGAAGUUAAAGGAUUACGCUCCAGUUUAGGUGUUGGAUGAUAAGCCAUGUGCUGAUAAGCCAUGUGCUGCUGACAUGAUGAAAUGAAUAUUCUAAAUGAAACCCAUGAAGUCAUGUCGAAGAUGCUGAUGAAGAUGGGCAGAAGAAUAUUGCAUGAUCUCACAACUAGACAAUCACUUUAUUGUAAUUAUUUAUUGCAUGCGUGUGCUAUUGUUUAUUGCAUGCAGGUGUAUGUAAAACUGUAUAAAGACCAUACUGCUAUUGAAGCAGAUAUAGGUUAAUGAGCUAAAGUAUAUUUCUUUAUGGUAUCAUAAUUUCCACACUGGACAUUACCACAAACCUGGAGGACCACGCUUUGCUCAUCCCUCAGGUCCUCCACAUCGCUCCAACAAUGAUGGAGUCCUUGGUACUGCACCUUCCAAAUUCCAAUGGUGGUUCUGGAGGUAAUGUUUUUUAUUCUUCUGGGAGAGUUCAAUGCCAAAUUUGUCAACGCCACAGACAUGUUGUCAUUGAUUGUUUCAACCGUCUGAUUAUGGCCUAUGAGGGACGUGUUCCUGGCUCUCGUCUUCAAGCCUUUGCUGCAGCUGCUCCAUCCUCAGGCUCUCGCAGUACCCCUGCUGUUCAAGACUGGUUCUUCGAUUCUGGUGCCAACGCCCACAUCACCAACGACUUAGCUCAAGUCCCUGCUGCCCGUGACUAUCAUGGAACUGAUCAUGUGAACGGAGUAGUUGGUGGCACAGGUUUGCAUAUUUCAAAAGUUGGCCAUUCCUAUAUUCGAACACCUCAUCACACCUUUAAAUUAUUAGACACUCUUUAUUGCCCUAAUGCUACCACUAAUGUUAUCUCCAUCAAUCGUUUUACCACAGAUAACAAGUGUUCUCUAACUUUGUCUCCUACCUCUUAUCAUAUUCAGGACAUGCAAACGGGGAAGAUCCUUUUGCACGGCCAGAGUAGGAAUGGCUUCUAUCCCUUUUCCAGACUUUCCAUCUCAAACAAUAAUGGCGUUUUUGCAUGCAUCGGUACUCGUGUAUCAGAUAGUAUUUGGCAUUCUCGUUUAGGACAUCCAUCUAGUUCCAUUUUGAAACUUCUUGUCACUAGAAAUAAAUUGCCCAUUUCUGGUAAAGUCAACAGUGAAGUGUGUCACUCAUGUCCACUGGGUAAGAGUCAUAAAUUACCUUUUUCAUUGUCUACUUCUGUGUCGUCAUUUCCUUUAGAAUUGAUCCACUCUGAUGUAUGGACGUCUCCGUCUCAUUCUAUUAAUGGAUUCAAAUAUUAUGUUAUUUUUAUUGAUGAUUUCUCUAGGUAUUCUUGGAUUUAUCCUUUAAAAUUAAAAUCUGACGUCUUUGCAACUUUUGUCACUUUUCAAAAUUAGUGGAAAACAUGUUUAGUACAACAAUAAAAUCAUUUCAAACAGAUGGAGGUGGCGAAUAUAUCAAUACUCAUUUUAAACAAUUUUUGGCAACUCGUGGCAUACAUCAUCGUUUCACUUGCCCACAUCAUCCGGAACAAAAUGGCUUAGCCGAAAGAAAACACCGUCAUUUGGUCGAAACUGGACUUACUCUUCUUGCUCAUGCAUCUUUGCCUGCGUCCUUUUGGGUUGAAGCCUUUCAUACGGCUAACUACCUUAUCAAUCGGUUGCCAACAAAAGUUUUACAAAAUAAUUAUCCUUGUUACAAAUUAUUUUCAAAAUCUCCUAAAUUCGAUUUUCUUAAAGUAUUUGGCUGUGCAUGUUUUCCAUACUUACGUCCAUAUAACAAUAACAAGUUGCAAUUUCGUUCCAAAAAGUGCAUAUUUCUCGGAUAUUCAUUAAAUCAACAAGGAUAUCGUUGUUUAGAUCCAUUUACAGGUCGAAUAUUUUUAUCUCGCCAUGUUGUUUUUGAUGAAAAGUCUUUUCCAUACAAAGACUCCAUUCCUACUAUCCCCUCUUCUUCCUCUGAUGCACUUCCUGCCACGUUAGAAUUAGGGCCCCAAUAUCCUAUCACUUCUCUUACUCCUAUUAUCACCUCUUCUUCCCAACGUACUCCCAAUAUACUACCUACUAACACCACUCCCAUAUCAGAUCCAUCCCCUUUACGUCCCACACCCAUCAGCUCUUUCCCCAGUUCGAAUAUAGGGCAGUCUCCGCCACUUCCACUAACUACUUCCUCUCACUCCAUGGUCACCCGUGCUAAGGAUGGGAUUCGACAACCCAAUCCUAAGUAUGCUUUACUUGCUAUUACUGUUGAUGAUUUAGUUGAACCUACUUGUUUCAGUCAAGCAAAUAAAUAUCCCGAGUGGAGGCAAGCAAUGGCAGAGGAGUUUAAUGCACUCCAACGCACAUGUACUUGGACACUUGUUCCCUGUCAGCCCCAUUUCAAUGUUCUUCCAAACAAAUGGGUGUAUCGCAUCAAGCGUAAGUCUGAUGGUUCCAUUGAACGGUUCAAAGCACGUCUUGUUGCCAAUGGUUUUCAUCAACAGGAAGGUCUUGAUUAUGGGGAAACUUUUAGUCCAGUUGUGACUCAUGCCACCAUUCGCCUCAUACUGUCCGUUGCUCUUCACUUUCACUGGCAUAUUCGUCAACUUGACGUCCAAAAUGCCUUUCUCCAUGGCACACUGGCUGAAGACGUUUUUAUGAGACAACCAUCAGGCUUUGUGGACCCUCAAUAUCCUACUCAUGUUUGCAAGCUUCGUCGUUCUUUAUACGGCCUUAAACAAGCACCCCGGGCAUGAUUUCAGUGUUUUUCUCAUCACUUGGAGGACUUAGGUUUCCUUGCUUCCACUGCCGACGCCUCCCUGUUUUCAUAUUUCAAUGGUGCCACUAUUAUUUAUCUUUUGAUUUAUGUAGAUGACAUUUUAGUCACUGGGAAUGAUGCAGCUCACAUUUCACGUCUCAUUGCUCAGCUUGGCCUAUUAUUCUCUAUGAAAGAUCUUGGGCCCCUUAAAUUUUUCCUUGGCAUGGAAGUCACUCGUACACCUACUCGCAUGUACCUUUCUCAAUCUAAAUACAUUGUGGAUCUCCUCCGUCACACCAAGAUGACCGACUGCAAGCCAACUUCAACACCUGCUACUAGGGCUGGGUUCAGUUCUUAUCGGUUCGGCCCAAAUUUUUUUCGGUUUUUUUCGGUUCGGUUUUUUUUUCGGUUCGGUUUUUUCGGUUCGGUUUCGGUUUUUUUUUUUUUUUCCUCCAAAAAAUGCAAAACAGCCACAACAAAUCCAGGCUUCAGCAGCAGCAUACCCAAAACAAAUUAAUCAAACCGUAUGUACUCUCACAAAUUAAUCAAACCUCAACUAAUAGUCUAAUAGUGUUCAUAAAUGAAGUUACCUAACCAAAUCCAGCAUACCCAAAACAAAUUGCAAAACCAUGAAAUUUAGAAGCUACAUAUCAAAUUCAUCAGAAGUUCAGAACCAACAAAAUUGAAAAAAAAAAUCUGCAAACGAAAAUUAACCAACAACACAACACAAAAACAAAACCAAAUUAAAAUCAACCAAACGAAAAAAAUAAACACAACCAAACGAAAAAAAUAAAACACAACCAAAUUUAAAUCAACCAAAUUAAACACAACCAAACCAAAAAAAUAAAUCUUUUUUUUUAAAUUAAUAGUUAAAAUAAGGAAGAGAUUGAACCGAUUCGAACUCCCUCUGCCAUCCUCCUCUCUGCUUCCGAUUCGAAAGGGGGCGAGGGAAAAUUAUGAUUUGGAUGAAGUACUUUUUAAGAAGCUAUAUUAAAUCCCAACUCAGAUUGCAUUAUCUCAGCAAGUAAACAAACUUAAAGUGAAUCAGCAAUACUAAAAAUACGAAUAGAAGAUAAUGAGAUACCGGAACACCAAAAUAUAUAAGCUCAAAACUUAUCCAUUCAACAGACGCAACAAAACUUAAAAAGUAAAUACUCUCAACAAAACUUGAAAAAUUAUCCAUGGAUCUGCAACGAUUAAUGACUGCCCUCGUCCGCCGUCAACUGCCCAUCAGUCCCAUGUUGUGCCACUGGACUGCUCCACUGCCACUGUGGUUUGGCUCUCCUCUUUGCUACCGUCGAAAUCCACAAAGAGAGAUAGUGAUUUGGAGGAAGAGAGGAAGGGGAGAGGAAGAGAGGAAGGGGAGAGAAAGAGAGAGAGAGAGAGGCAGAGAGGAAAUAGCGGAGGGGAGAGAGUGCUUGAGAAAAGGGAAAACCGAAAUGGGAUUGGGAGAGUGACGGCUAGGGUUUUUAAUCUUAAGAAAUUUUAUAAAGCAUUAAAUAUUAGAAACCUAUAAAUAUAUUACUGGUACAAUUAUAACAACACAAAGCCUACAGUCAAGUUGGCUUGAAGGAAUUAUCCCCCCUGGACGGAAGGGGUUCGAUUCCUCACAGCAGCAGGUUUUAAGUAUUUAUAUUUAAUUUUAAGUUAAAAGGUUGUUGAUUGCUCAAAAAAAACUAAAAAACUUUUCUGAAACCCUGGAGGCAUGAGGAUUCGAACCCAUGCACAGGGGCUUGAAAAGUUUCAAGCAAACCAACUUGGUAACAGGUUAUGUCUUGUUAUGAUUGUAUCACUAAAUUAUUUAUAAUAUUGAAAACAAAAUUAAAUAUAUAUAUAUGUUCGGUUCGGUUCGGUUUCCGAACCUUAAAAACCGAAACCGAACCAGCCAGAUUCGGUUCGGUUCGGUUUGGCAGUUUCGGUUCGAUUUUUUUCGGCCUCGGUUCGGUUUGGUUUUCGGUUUUUUUCGGUUUUCAGUUAUUUGAACCCACCCCUACCUGCUACUGCCGGUCGUCGUCUUAGUCUUCAUGAAGGGGAACCUCUUUCAGAUGCCACUGAAUUUAGAAGUGUUGUUGGUGCUCUUCAGUACCUUCUCUUCACGUCCUGACAUUGCUUUCGUGGUUAACCAAGUUUGCCAAUAUAUGCAUUCACCGACAACCACACAUUGGGCUGCUGUCAAACGUAUUCUUCGAUACUUAAAAGCAACACAUGAUCAUGCCCUUGUCUACACUGCUAGUUCCCUCACUCUCACUGCGUAUGCUGAUGCUGAUUACGCGGGGGAUCCAGAUGAUCGACGAUCCACUAGAGGUUACUGUAUUUUCCUUGGUAGUAAUCUCAUUUCGUGGAGUUCCAAGAAACAAAGAGGAGUCUCUCGCUCCAGCACAGAGGUCGAAUACCGUCAGCUUGCUUACACCUCCGCCACUCUCUCUUGGUUCCGAAACAUUUUUCGUGAUCUUCAUCUUCAUCUUCUUCCUCCACGUCUCUGGUGUGAUAAUAUCAGUGUUAUCGCUGUUGCCUCUAAUCCAGUCUAUCAAGCUCAGAUGCGACAUGUCGAGGUUGAUUACCAUUAUGUGCGGGAAAAAGUCACUCGAAAAGAAAUUGUUGUCGGUUAUGUUGCCUCCACUGAUCAACUAGCUGAUCUUCUCACAAAAGGCUUGUCAUUUCCCCAGUUUUUGUUUCUGGUUUCCAAGCUUCCUGUCCGUUCCUGCCCACUCAGCUUGAGGGGCCGUGAUAAGCCAUGUGCCUGCUGACAUGAUGAAAUGAAUAUUCUAAAUGAAACCCAUGAAGUCCUGUCGAAGAUGCUGAUGAAGAUGGGCAGAAGAAUAUUGCAUGAUCUCACAACUAGACAAUCACUUUAUUGUAAUUAUUUAUUGCAUGCGUGUGCUAUUGUUUAUUGCAUGCGGGUGUAUGUAAAACUGUAUAAAUACCAUACUGCUAUUGAAGCAGAUAUAGGUUACUGAGCUAAAGUAUAUUUCUUUAUUGGAGAAGUGCCAACAAAAAGAAAACUUCAAAAUAUAUGAUCAAUGAACCAGCUCAAGUAAAGGCCAAGGGAAGUGGGAAAAGAAUGAAGUCUUCCAAAGAAAAGGCAAUGGGGAAAGCUAAGAAGUAUAAGGCAUGUGGAGAACUCGAGCACACCAUAAGACAAUGUCCGAUAUCAGAAGACGGGUAAUAAUUUACUUGGUUUUAAUUCGUAUGUAAAAUUCUUAUUUUUUUUAAUUGACUUAUGCUUGGUCAAUCAUUCCAUAGGAUUGUAGUUCAUGUAUACUUAUAUAUCACGUAUAUAUUUCAUAGAUCAAGCAUACACAAUGUCGAAGCUUCUCAUGACAGAACAUGUGUACCAAAUGAAACACCACAUAUUGCUGGUAUGCAUGGUAAGUGUUCUAAAGUUACAAUUAUAUAUUACUUUGGCAUAUUAGCACUGAUUUAGUUGGUUUUAAUCCUACAAUUCACUUCUAUCUUCUUUGCCAGAUCACUGAAGUUGAUUCUAAGUACUACAAUUCACUGUAGAGGGAGAGAUGUUCUUAAAAGUACAUCCUAAUAUUUUGGUGCCAUGGUUCUUUGAGAUAAAUCUCAAGCUUCUUAGUAUAAUCACAAGAACUCAAUAGAUGUUGAACAUUUGUAAUUUAUUUGGUGUAUAUCCCAAUAUAAUAAGGAAAUUCUCAAAUUUGAUUACUCGGUACUACUUAUGUUUAAAAAAAAUUGUCCUCAAUUUUCUUGAGAAAGCAUAAGAUCAACGAUAGCACCAUUCAUCGGAAGUGACUAAAAGACAUGACUUGGUUAAAUUUGCAACUAAGCUAACAGAGACAAGACCUCUGUUUGUUCACCUAAAG